GUGCUGGUCUAUUGAUUUUUGGG
rnacentral:piRNA from 1 species